ensembl:snoRNA SNORD83 Small nucleolar RNA SNORD83
GCCAAAUGAUGUGUUGUAUAGAUUGCAUUAGCACUUUGUGCAAAGAUGACUAUUGAUCUAUCACCCAUGACUGAUGGCU